UACAGAGGUCCCGAGCGUUGGUCGGAUUCAUUGGGCGUAAAGGGUGCGUAGGCGGCGGGGCAAGUCUGAUGUGAAAUCCCGGGGCUCAACCCCGGAACUGCAUUGGAUACUGCCUUGCUAGAGUACUGGAGAGGGAACUGGAAUUUACGGUGUAGCAGUGAAAUGCGUAGAGAUCGUAAGGAAGGCCAGUGGCGAAGGCGAGUUCCUGGACAGUUACUGACGCUGAGGCACGAAGGCCAGGGGAGCAAACAGG
rnacentral:rRNA from 1 species